AGACAGAAGGCCUGAUCCUUGCAGCCCAGGAGCAAGACAUCAGAACAAAGGCCAUUAAUAAUAAUAAUAAUAAUAAUAAUAAUAGAAGACCUGGCUCUGGCUCAUGAAUGGGACCCUGAAGAAGGAGACAGAAGGCCUGAUCCUUGCAGCCCAGGAGCAAGACAUCAGGACAAAGGCAAUUAAUAAUAAUAAUAAUAAUAAUAAUAAUAAUAAUAGAAGACCUGGCUCUGGCUCACGAAUGGGACCCUGAAGAAGGAGACGGAAGGCCUGAUCCUUGCAGCCCAGGAGCAAGACAUCAGGACAAAGGCAAUUAAUAAUAAUAAUAAUAAUAAUAAUAAUAAUAAUAAUAAUAGAAGACCUGGCUCUGGCUCACGAAUGGGACCCUGAAGAAGGAGACAGAAGGCCUGAUCCUUGCAGCCCAGGAGCAAGACAUCAGGACAAAGGCCAUUAAUAAUAAUAAUAAUAAUAAUAAUAAUAAUAAUAAUAGAAGACCUGGCUCUGGCUCAUGAAUGGGACCCUGAAGAAGGAGACAGAAGGCCUGAUCCUUGCAGCCCAGGAGCAAGACAUCAGGACAAAGGCAAUUAAUAAUAAUAAUAAUAAUAAUAAUAAUAGAAGACCUGGCUCUGGCUCACGAAUGGGACCCUGAAGAAGGAGACGGAAGGCCUGAUCCUUGCAGCCCAGGAGCAAGACAUCAGGACAAAGGCAAUUAAUAAUAAUAAUAAUAAUAAUAAUAAUAAUAAUAAUAAUAGAAGACCUGGCUCUGGCUCACGAAUGGGACCCUGAAGAAGGAGACAGAAGGCCUGAUCCUUGCAGCCCAGGAGCAAGACAUCAGGACAAAGGCCAUUAAUAAUAAUAAUAAUAAUAAUAAUAAUAAUAGAAGACCUGGCUCUGGCUCACGAAUGGGACCCUGAAGAAGGAGACAGAAGGCCUGAUCCUUGCAGCCCAGGAGCAAGACAUCAGGACAAAGGCCAUUAAUAAUAAUAAUAAUAAUAAUAAUAAUAAUAAUAGAAGACCUGGCUCUGGCUCACGAAUGGGACCCUGAAGAAGGAGACAGAAGGCCUGAUCCUUGCAGCCCAGGAGCAAGACAUCAGAACAAAGGCCAUUAAUAAUAAUAAUAAUAAUAAUAAUAAUAAUAAUAGAAGACCUGGCUCUGGCUCAUGAAUGGGACCCUGAAGAAGGAGACAGAAGGCCUGAUCCUUGCAGCCCAGGAGCAAGACAUCAGGACAAAGGCAAUUAAUAAUAAUAAUAAUAAUAAUAAUAAUAAUAAUAAUAGAAGACCUGGCUCUGGCUCACGAAUGGGACCCUGAAGAAGGAGACGGAAGGCCUGAUCCUUGCAGCCCAGGAGCAAGACAUCAGGACAAAGGCAAUUAAUAAUAAUAAUAAUAAUAAUAAUAAUAAUAAUAAUAAUAGAAGACCUGGCUCUGGCUCACGAAUGGGACCCUGAAGAAGGAGACAGAAGGCCUGAUCCUUGCAGCCCAGGAGCAAGACAUCAGAACAAAGGCCAUUAAUAAUAAUAAUAAUAAUAAUAAUAAUAAUAAUAGAAGACCUGGCUCUGGCUCAUGAAUGGGACCCUGAAGAAGGAGACAGAAGGCCUGAUCCUUGCAGCCCAGGAGCAAGACAUCAGGACAAAGGCAAUUAAUAAUAAUAAUAAUAAUAAUAAUAAUAAUAAUAAUAAUAGAAGACCUGGCUCUGGCUCACGAAUGGGACCCUGAAGAAGGAGACGGAAGGCCUGAUCCUUGCAGCCCAGGAGCAAGACAUCAGGACAAAGGCAAUUAAUAAUAAUAAUAAUAAUAAUAAUAAUAAUAAUAAUAGAAGACCUGGCUCUGGCUCACGAAUGGGACCCUGAAGAAGGAGACAGAAGGCCUGAUCCUUGCAGCCCAGGAGCAAGACAUCAGGACAAAGGCCAUUAAUAAUAAUAAUAAUAAUAAUAAUAAUAAUAAUAGAAGACCUGGCUCUGGCUCACGAAUGGGACCCUGAAGAAGGAGACAGAAGGCCUGAUCCUUGCAGCCCAGGAGCAAGACAUCAGGACAAAGGCAAUUAAUAAUAAUAAUAAUAAUAAUAAUAAUAGAAGACCUGGCUCUGGCUCACGAAUGGGACCCUGAAGAAGGAGACAGAAGGCCUGAUCCUUGCAGCCCAGGAGCAAGACAUCAGAACAAAGGCAAUUAAUAAUAAUAAUAAUAAUAAUAAUAAUAAUAAUAGAAGACCUGGCUCUGGCUCAUGAAUGGGACCCUGAAGAAGGAGACAGAAGGCCUGAUCCUUGCAGCCCAGGAGCAAGACAUCAGAACAAAGGCAAUUAAUAAUAAUAAUAAUAAUAAUAAUAAUAAUAGAAGACCUGGCUCUGGCUCAUGAAUGGGACCCUGAAGAAGGAGACAGAAGGCCUGAUCCUUGCAGCCCAGGAGCAAGACAUCAGGACAAAGGCCAUUAAUAAUAAUAAUAAUAAUAAUAAUAAUAGAAGACCUGGCUCUGGCUCACGAAUGGGACCCUGAAGAAGGAGACAGAAGGCCUGAUCCUUGCAGCCCAGGAGCAAGACAUCAGGACAAAGGCCAUUAAUAAUAAUAAUAAUAAUAAUAGAAGACCUGGCUCUGGCUCACGAAUGGGACCCUGAAGAAGGAGACAGAAGGCCUGGUCCUUGCAGCCCAGGAGCAAGACAUCAGAACAAAGGCCAUUAAUAAUAAUAAUAAUAAUAAUAAUAAUAGAAGACCUGGCUCUGGCUCACGAAUGGGACCCUGAAGAAGGAGACAGAAGGCCUGGUCCUUGCAGCCCAGGAGCAAGACAUCAGGACAAAGGCAAUUAAAUGCAAUUAAGGCCAAGAUCGAAAAAUCAGCUAAUGACCCAAAAUGCAGACUCUGCAAGGAAACCGACGAAACCAUUGACCAUAUCCUCAGCUGCUGUAAGAAAAUCGCACAGACAGACUACAAACAGAGGCACAACUGUGUGGCCCAAAGGAUUCACUGGAACUUGUGCCUCAAGUACCACCUGCGAGCAGCAAAGAACUGGUGGGAUCACAAACCUGCAAAAGUCUUGGAAAAUGAGCACACAAAGAUACUGUGGGACUUCCGAAUCCAGACUGACAAAGUUCUGGAACACAACACACCAGACAUCACAGUUGUGGAAAAGAAAAAGGUUUGGAUCAUUGAUGUUGCCAUCCCAGGUGACAGUCGCAUUGAAGAAAAACAACAGGAAAAACUCAGCCGCUCUCAGGACCUCAAGAUUGAACUGCAAAGACUCUGGCAGAAACCAGUGCAGGUGGUCCCAGUGGUGAUCCAGCAUAUCUAUCUUGUUUGCUGUGUCAUAAUAAUAAAAUAAUAAUAAUAAUAUAAUGAAGCAGGAUAUAAAUACAAAUCACAGGUUCCUAGAGUUGGAAGAGACCUCAUGGGCCAUCCAGUCCAACCCCAUUCUGCCAAGAAGCAGGAAAUCGCAUUCAAAGCACCCCCGACAGAUGGCCACCCAGCCUCUGCUUAAAAGCCUCCCAAGAAGGAGCCUCCACCACAGUCUGGAGCAGAGAGUUCCACUGCUGAACAACUCUCACAGUGAGGAAGUUCUUCCUAAUGUUCAGGUUGGGUUGCUGACCUGAAGGCUGCCAGGUUCAGAUCCCACCCAGGGAGAGUGCAGAUGAGCUCCCUCCGUCAGCUCCAGCUUCAUGAGAGAAGCCUCCCACAAGCUAUUUGGUGUGAAAUUGGCUACAACAAUAGAACACAGAUAGAACACGAUAGAACUGACUUUGGGAGGCUUCUGAGGUUUACAAAAAGCAAAUGAAAACGUAUUGGGUAAAUUUCGAUUUUUUGGUGCAGGCCACGCCCAUGUGUCGGAUAUCGCCACGUAAGUACAAAUUUAAUGAAUUUGAUAUGACAUGCGAUGAGUAACAAAAAAAUUGCACAGCCCAAGAGAUGAUAUAUGAUUUUGCACAGUAAGAGUUCUCUAUGAAUUGUAGUGUCGAGUUCAGUAGCAAGAAGUAAUCAAUGAAUCCAAUUUUUUACGAGACCAGGGAAGAUGUUUUUCAGAAGGGUUAUUUGGGGUAAAUUUAAGGACUUUUCCAAAACACUUUCAUCAAAUUUCCUUCUGUGCUUUAGGCAAAGCUUGGACUGUAAUGAAAAUGUCCAAAUUGAUUGCCAGUGAUUAGAGAGUGCCAUCAUUGCUGUUUUGAGACUGAGCGGUUGUCAGAAUAAUUUAGUUUUGGAAAGCCCUGCUUGUCAGGAGGAUCGCCGGUUGUUCCUGGCCUAUCUGAGCUGGCUUGCUCAUCCAAGCCCAGCAUGGGGUUUCAUUUGAGCCUAUGCAGCUGUCUCCAAUUUCCUUUGCUUGAAAUGUCAUCAUGUCAAAAUCCCAGAUGUUUGCUGAAAAUUCGGUAGGACUUUAAACAUUUUUUUGCACUGGAAAAAGGUCUUGUCAGGUCAGGAAGUGAAGCCAGGACUUUUUGAUAAGUUAGGCAGAAGCUGGACAGAGAACAAUAUCAAAAAUAUGUCUUUAUUGUGCAACCGUUGGAUGGUUUUUAUAUUGUAGUUUAGAUUAUGAUUUGAGGACGCAAGCUAUGAAUCAGCAGCAUGAUCCAAACCGUUGUGUGUAUUCAAAGGAUUGACGUAUCUCGACUUCAGAACUCUUACACUUGGAGGAUCUUCAUUCCAAGAAAAAGCCAGCAAUUUGGAUCUUUCUACUAGUUAGGGGAACACACAACAACCCAUUUUCCCCAGUCCUCUGUUGCAAUGCCUGAUUUUUCUUUAUGUCUCUUUAAAUAAUAGUUUUUAUUGUUAUACCUUUUCAGAAAAAAUAGAGAUGUAUAAUAUUGUGAUACACACAUACAAAAAGAGAAAAAUGAAAAGAGAGUGGGGGUUGUGGAGCGCUAGUUAGUAGAUUAUAGAGUUAUAUAAAUAUCUGCUGUAUCACCAAAGAAGAGGAAGGAAUUUGGGGAGAUAAUGACGACAUUUUCGUAGGAAACGAGAGGCAACGCGAAAAUGAAACCUGCAGUCAUCGUGCUUGCUUUCGUUUUACUUUUAUUUCUGUCCUGUAGCAAUAAGUAGGUACUGACAGAGGGCUGCUUUCUCAUUACAUCUGAUGUGUGAAUGGGUGUUAAAUAUAUAUAUAUAUAUAUAUAUAUAUAGAGAGAGAGAGAGAGAGAGAGAGAGAGAACGAUAUACUCUGGGAAUCUAAGCUGAGCUGUCAAGGAAUGGUUGAUAUAGUG